GCAUAGGUUUGGGUUUAUGGCUGGCUUGUUACCCUGAGCUUCUCACAGUGUUCCAUGCCAGAGCCAACUGCCCCGAACCAUUGCCUGGCCUCUCCCUGUAGGUUUCUGGCACUGAAGUGGGUUGCACAUUG